CUUCAUUUCAUAUAUUUAUUCAUAACGUGGAGGCAAGUGCUGUGCCACUGAGCCACAAUCUCAGCUUCCUAGAAGAAUAUUAACUUGACAAAAUGACUGAAAGGAACAUCUUCAUCACCUUUAUUUAUUUAUUUAGCUUUGAAGCCAAAUUCAAUGACUGACAGAAUACUAAAAAAAGAGAGGCAGCAGUGAUUAAAAGAAUAGGUUCUGAAGCCUGCCUGAUUCAAUUUAAAUCUUGACUCACUAAUAUACUGAGGAAGCUCCUGGAGGAUCUGUUCCAAGAAAAUGAAGAAUAAAAUCAAGAAAGAAGGUGAUAUGGGAUAAAAGAGAAGUGAUAAUAAUUUUCAAAAUAAAAAGGAGGUGGCAAGCCUUAA